rnacentral:rRNA from 1 species
UGGGGGAAUCUUGGACAAUGGGGGGCAACCCUGAUCCAGCCAUGCCGCGUGAGUGAUGAAGGCCUUAGGGUCGUAAAGCUCUUUCGCCUGUGAAGAUAAUGACGGUAGCAGGUAAAGAAACCCCGGCUAACUCCGUGCCAGCAGCCGCGGUAAUACGGAGGGGGUUAGCGUUGUUCGGAAUUACUGGGCGUAAAGCGCACGUAGGCGGACCAGAAAGUUGGGGGUGAAAUCCCGGGGGCUCAACCCCGGAAACUGCCUCCAAAACUAUUGGUCUAGAGUUCGAGAGAGGUGAGUGGAAUUCCAAGUGUAGAGGUGAAAUUCGUAGAUAUUUGGAGGAACACCAGUGGCGAAGGCGGCUCACUGGCUCGAUACUGACGCUGAGGUGCGAAAGUGUGGGGAGCAAAACAGGAUUAGAUACCCCUGGUAGUCCACACCGUAAAACGAUGAAUGCCAGUCGUCGGGUAGCAUGCUAUUCGGUGACACACCUAACGGAUUAAGCAUUCCGCCUGGGGAGUACGGUCGCAAGAUUAAAA